AAUGCAUGACUCCACAACCUCAGGACUCGCAGAAUUAAUGGAGUGCUGUCCUGAGGUUGUGGAGUUGUGCGUU
rnacentral:pre_miRNA from 1 species